GACGCUCUGACAUGGCCUUCAAAAUACUGGGAGUCACUGAUGGAGAGAGAAAGUAAAAAACAAUUUGCUACAGUGGAAUGAAUGGUACUACAGAUGUCAGUGACAUGUAGACUUACUGUGAAAUAAUGAAAGUUACCUUACAGCAUCAGUGAAAUAACUAAAAAAGUAAUUCCAGUGGAAAUAACAAUAAUUGCAUAACUGAAAGUGAUGCCAGCAAUUUAUUUCCUGGUAACUGGGUGCAGUCACUGAAAUGAGUUACACUAGUCACACAUGGAGGGCACGACUGCCUGUAAACACUCUACUCAGAUUGUGACCAUUGAGAGUCCACAUUGCCUUGUAGGACUCCACAAAGCGGUCAACUGUAGACUUUGAGUUCAGCCCUAGGCUUUCUAACUGAGUGUGCAGAACCUGGAGUGGACACAGAAAGAGAGAGAAGCCAUUGUGGAACAUCAGGGGACAAAAGACUUUGUUGAUUGCUCCUCCUACACCC